rnacentral:lncRNA from 1 species
AGCAAUUAAAACCAUCACACUCCUACCAGGCCUGGCGGUGCAUUCAUUUCAUCCCAGCACUCAGGAGGCAGAGACCAAGUUUCUUCAGCAGAAAAUGGAGGCUUGUAACAGAUGCACUGUGAGGCUGAGGCUGCACAGAAAACAGCUGAAGCACAGCCCUUCGAGGUGGUGGGGAAGCCACACCCCAAACAGGACUAAGUCACCAUACCUUGUCCCUUGGGGUUCUGCAGCCCAAGGCAAUCAGGGAAGACUAUCCACAUUUCUGUCUGCAGACAUCUCAGGUCUGCAGAGUGGAGAGAAGUCAAUGACCCUGAAGGGUACAGAGGCUCUGCUGCCACUGUAGCUCCAAGAUAGCUGGCAGAGCCAGUCCUGGACAACACCCGCACUUCUCUGCUUUAGUGCCUAUGUCCUGGGAGAAUGGGACUUCCUGUGAAGUCAUGAUCCACUUGAUUCUCCCCGGAAGGGGUUCCUUCAUGUGACCUCUCCUCCAGUCUCAUACCACAUCCAUUCUGUCUCCUCCAUGCACCCAUUAUCUGUUUUCUGAGGCUGGAAUCUGUCUAUACAGAAGAGAGGCUUAUACAGCUUACAGUUUGGGAGUGUUGAAGUCCACGACUAGAUAGCCCCAUCUGCUCGGUCUUUGCUGACGGUAAAUUUGGGUACAUCACCACACAGAGGGCAGCAUCCUUUAGCAGGCCUCCAUGGUCU